rnacentral:lncRNA from 1 species
GAGUGAAGUGGUGAAGAAAAUCUGGGAAACACAGACACAGAGGACAAAUCAUACCUCACCAACAAUAGCCAAUAUUAGAUAUAAAACAAUCUAUAGGAAAAGGUGGAUAGAUCAGAAGUAACCAGAAACACAAAAUUAUACUCAAACCAUCCUUCCCUGCCACAAUGCUUUGACCUCUUAAACGGAGUGAAGUGAUUGGUAAAGAAAAUCUGGGAAACACAGACACAGAGGACAAAUCAUACCUCACCAGCAAUAGCCAAUAUUAGAUAUAAAACAAUCUAUAGGAAAAGGUGGAUAGAUCAGAAGUAACCAGAAACACAAAAUUAUACUCAAACCAUCCUUCCCUGCCACAAUGUUUUGACCUCUUAAACGGAGUGAAGUGAUUGGUAAAGAAAAUCUGGGAAACACAGACACAGCGGACAAAUCAUACCUCACCAACAAUGGCCAAUAUUAGAUAAAACAAUCUAUAGGAAAAAAAAAGUGUAUAGAUGAGAAGUAACCAAAUACACAAAAUUAUACUUAAAACCAUCCAUCCCUCCCACAAUGCCUUGAUCUCUACGAUUUAAAACGAAAAACAUCAGGUAAUAGGGAAAUUCAAAACCCUAAAAAUAAAACAAAGGGAGAUAUAAGACACCGCCAAAGAAGUAACAGGGAGCCACGAUAGAUCAAAGACAUCUUUCAAAACAAACUGAGACAGAACUAGCCUUCUUCGCAUCCUCAAAAACCCUAAAAGAUGGGGGACACUUCACAAAUAAAAACAUCGUCACAAGCAUAUGAGAGUAGGAUCAAACACUAUACAUAGAUUUAACAUACAACAACAGAGAGACCGAGAAAUAGACCAGUUAACCAGGGCGUAUGUUAGAACAAACAGAUUGCAACAGAUCCCGGAGGCAAAGAGGAACAAAACCUGAUAAACCAUAUGAGAGGAGCUAAGACAUAGCAAUACUGAGAAACUUGAAGACGUUCAAUAGAAAAACUACUUACAAAAAAGACAAGCUAUAAGAAAAAAACUCGUCUGGAAGGAAUAUAUGUUCAUCUUUCAUCUGAAUGUGUACACAGCAGAGAAUCUGGAAAACACAACAAGACACAGAGGACAAAAUCAUACCUCACCAACAAUAGCCAAUAUCAUAACUCAGGUGAUAUAAGAACUCUAAAAAAGGAAGCAGAG